AUUGAGCGCUGGCGGCAGGCCUAACACAUGCAAGUCGAGCGGAUGAAGGGAGCUUGCUCCUGGAUUCAGCGGCGGACGGGUGAGUAAUGCCUAGGAAUCUGCCUGGUAGUGUGGGAUAACGUCCGGAAACGGGCGCUAAUACCGCAUACGUCCUGAGGGAGAAAGUGGGGGAUCUUCGGACCUCACGCUAUCAGAUGAGCCUAGGUCGGAUUAGCUAGUUGGUGGGGUAAAGGCCUACCAAGGCGACGAUCCGUAACUGGUCUGAGAGGAUGAUCAGUCACACUGGAACUGAGACACGGUCCAGACUCCUACGGGAGGCAGCAGUGGGGAAUAUUGGACAAUGGGCGAAAGCCUGAUCCAGCCAUGCCGCGUGUGUGAAGAAGGUCUUCGGAUUGUAAAGCACUUUAAGUUGGGAGGAAGGGCAGUAAGUUAAUACCUUGCUGUUUUGACGUUACCAACAGAAUAAGCACCGGCUAACUUCGUG
rnacentral:rRNA from 1 species